GUGAUUGUUUCAGCAGCAUAUAUACUAAAAUUAGAUCAAUAUGGAGAAGACUAUUGUGGCCCCUGAAUAAGGAAAAUAUUCAAAUUUGAAAAAUAAUAUUCAUUUUU
ensembl:snRNA U6 U6 spliceosomal RNA